rnacentral:lncRNA from 1 species
UGAGGAACCAUGCAAUUACUGUUGUGGUAGUUUCUCUAACCAACAACCACCACUAUGAGUCUAAGUGGUGAUACAACGUUUUUACCAUCACGUUGUCAGACUGUCAUAUACUUUGCCGUCAUAUAGAACUACUUAAUUUAGUGGAUCCACUAGCUUAACUUAUAUGAUUAUCUAAAAAGUAUGACUCAUUAAUAUCCAUGAUGGCUACAUGGUUUAUGGAGACUUGAGUUAAUAUGAACUCACAUCCCCAUAUCGGUGCUCAAUACUUAGCUUAAAAGCUCUCUUGGAAUCGAUGUUCCCUUUUCUUGCUCAAAUGUGAAAACAUUUUAUAAACUCUUUGGGAAUAAUUAGUUCCCUUAUAGCUUUUUGAGAAAUGAACUCAACUCUUGACUCUUUGCUUAACUUGAAACUUUAGUCUUAAAACAAAGUUAAAAUGUUUGUAAAAGACUUUUGAAAACUUUAAAAACUAUGAUUUGACUUGCUUCUUAACUUCUAGACUUGACUCUUAACUUCUCUUGACUUUGAUCUUAACUUUCCUUGAAUUGGAUUAUGGAUUCAAGGUUCAUGAUCUCAUGUUUAUGGAUGAUUUCAUGAUGUUUAGACGUACCUUAGAGCGUUGGAAUCAACUUAGAAACAUAGGUACAUUGCUAGGGAACAAGUACGAAAAGGUGGAGAACGAAUGGGGAGAACCGGCGUCCCUGGCGCUCUGAGAGGCGCGGGGCGCCAGCUCUCAACAUUCAGGGACUAGUCUUGGGAGCGCUGGCUGGGGCGGCUCCCCAAGGGUGAACAUUCAGGGACCCUUUUGGGGGGCGCUGGCUGGCGCGACGCCCCACCCCCAUACCCAGGUGUUUGACGACUUUUCUUCUCUGUUUUUUCAUCUCUAAACCCUAUAAACUCUAAUGGUUCUUUCCCCAAACACUUAGAAUCCUUUAUACCCUCAAUAUAUGAAAGAUUCAAACCGAAAUUACACCCAGAAACAUGAAUCAAAUCAUCAAGAAACCUCAACAACACAACACCUAAGAAUUCAACGAAACUUUUAACAAUGUUCAUCAAGAACUCAAUUUCUAAUCAUUCAAAGACUUAAACUCGCUGAAUUGAAUCAUGUUUGGUGCGUGGGUGAACUAACCCAACACUAUGUAGUCUCACAUACCUUGUAGGGAUCACCCCCGACGAAAUCCACACGCAAAGCUUGAACGUUUCUUGGCGAUUCUUGAUUUCUCCUUUUCUCCUCCUUUCUCUUUCCUCCAAGCCCUAGCGUGAACUCUAACUUUUCUAAACAGAACAAAAAUUUUGUUUUACCCCAAUUAACUCCUAAAAACGAAUUAGAAUAAUUAGGUAAGGAAAAGACUAAUUUACCCUUCCAAAACCCGGAUUUGGACAUUUCCUUAAUCCAACAACCCUACUUCUAAAGGGGAUAACUUACUCAUAUGAACUCGGAAUCGCGCAAACUGGGAGGCGUUGGAAAGAUAAUUCCAAGAGCUUUCCAACCAUAUCUGAAAGUACACCUAAAUCAUAAUGAUCAAGGAGUUAUGGCCAUUUCAAGUUGACCAAAAACUCACUUUUAACUUAACUUAAACAAAUUUCCAGAUUUCAAUUCUUUCCAAAAAUCACUAUUUCCAAUUCUUAGCUUCUUCCUAGAUAUUUCGAAUUGCGAGAUGUUACAAUAUUCUACCCAAAAAAACAAAACAAAACUAAACUUUGAGUAAUUGUCUCUCUAGGCAUUGUUUAUAGUUUAAAACUCCACAAACGCCAAGUCAACUCGUAGAUUAGAAACCUCUUUGAUAUGGAUACGAAGUUGCUCUCAUCAAAUCCUGAAAAAGUAGUCAUUUAGAAAUGCAUAUAUGCUAUAAAUAAAUUUAAAAUACAUAUAAACGCAGUAAAGCAAACCCACCAUAAAUGAGGUGGGAUAUGAAUCAACGCGGCCACUUUUCCCUUGAAAAGGUUCUGAAUAUGCUGAGUAUUCUUUGAAAAAUAAAUGAUUAAAUAAAAGAAGAAUUUGUUAGCUAAAAUGAGAAUGAUGCAUAAAGAAUAAGUCUUAGUCAAAAUUGACAUAAUUUAUCAAAAUAAACGCUUACCAUUGUAGGAUCUGCAUUAAGAAAUGUUUCCAUGCUAUUGAAUUCCUCUUCGACAUUAGUAUGUGAACUGCAAAUUAAGCAAAUAAUUGAAACAUGUGAUUUAGUCAAUGAAUACGCCUCAAAAUUCUAAAUUUAUUAAAGUAGAUUGAAAAUUAAAGAUCGAACUAUAAAAUUAUCUUACUCCCUUGCCCUUUUUUAUGAUUUUGGUUUCCCUUUUUUAUUUCUACAAAGAGCUUCUUUUAGCCUUCUGAGAACUUUCUAAACCACCUUUCAUUCUCAAAGAACGAGGACGUCCUUUAGUAACCACACAUGGAGGGUCAAGCAAACUAAAAUUUUCCCUUUGUUCACUUGAGUUCAAAUUCAUAUUUGACUCGUUAACUUGACCAUCACAUACAUUAUCAUUCACAUCCUCGUAUGGAAGUUCAUCAAGUUGUUCACAUAAUUGCAACAAUCUUUGAUAUGUAAAUUUAUAAUGCUUUUCUGAUCGAGUAGCUCGUUCAGAAAGCCCAAGAGAAUGCAUCAUAAUGUUAUUAAACCAUAUAGUGGAAGACUUCAGAGUAUCCACAAGCGAUCCUGCACUUGAAACGUCAUUAACUUUUUCUGUGGUUGAAUACCUUGUCCAUCGAUCCAAUAAAUAACAUGGUGGAAGUGAGUGAAUCUGUUUCUUUACAAAUAUCAUAAGCACAUGUCUACAUAAAAUUCCCAUGAACUCAAACUUAUGACAAGAACAAGUAGCAUUUUUAAUUCAAGAUUCAAUCUAACAAUAUAUGUCGGUGUUUGUCUUUGAAACAAAUGCACUUUAUAGAUAUGUAUUCCAUCCUGAACCUCAAUUUUUUCUGAAAUUUGAAUCAACUCUUCUUGAAAUUUGUGAAAUAUUUUUCUGGUAUAUAUUUUGGCUGCUUCAUCCUCCAUUGGAUAUAAUGUUUUCAAGAUAACCUUUGAAUGUUUUGUCUUAUAACCUUUUUCCCUUACUUUGUCAUACCUAGCGUCAACAACUUUAUCAUAUUGCGUCACAAAUACACUCAUUGGUGUACUAGAGUUAAGAUAAUCUUUAAAGUAUUUAUUCAUACUUUUACUUCUUUGAGUUGUUGACAUUCCAGCACAAAAAGUAGUUCGCACAUAUGCUGGAAUCCAUUUCUCGCGAAUUGCAUAUAUCCUACGCAACCAGUUAUGUUCUUCUAAAUUAUUCAUUUUCAUUAUAUCAAUCCAAGCAGUUUCAAAUUCCUCGGGAGUUGUUGUACAAUGUAAACACUUACUAAACUCACUUUUAAAAUCAUCAAAUUUAUGAAAAACAUGACUUAGAUAUUCAGGAAUCUUCUUCUCAAUGUGCCACAUACAAAAAUGGUGUGCACUAUUUGGGAACACCUUUGCAACUGCAUUUGUUAUUGCAGCAUUUUGAUCUGUGAUUAUUGUACGAGGGGAAAUACCAAACAUAGCCUCUUGCCAAGUGUGAAGUAACCAUUGAAAAGUUUCUUCUGUUUCAUCCCAAGGAAGAGCACAUCCAAAUAAAAUAGAUUGGUGAUGGUUAUUAACUCCGGUAAAUGGAACAAAAGGCAUCUUAUAUUUGUUUGUCAAGUAUGUAGGAUCAAAUAGGACAACAUCUCUAAAAUUCUUGUAAGCUAUCCUAGACCUAGCAUCCACCCAAAAACAAUUAGCUAAAUGACCCUCUACAUCCAUUUGUAUUGCAUAAAAGAAUCUGGGGCUAUCAGAUUGUCGCUUUUGAAAGUAUUUCAACAUCAAUUGUGCAUCUCCUUUCUCAAGACAAUUUUGCCUUUUAGUGCUCAAAUAAUUCUAAAUAUCUCGUCCUGUUAGAUUGAGAUUCUCUACCCCCCAGCCUGAGUAAUUAACACUGAUGCAAUUUUACUCGGACGAAUACCAUAAUUAUUUAAGAGAUCAAUAAGAUUCUUCUGAGCCUCUGAUUUUUUUCUUUUUGAUCACAAGAAUUUCUGACUAUUGGGAGAAGCAAGUUCAUGAUUAUGAUUUGAGACAAGUCUAGCUAUAACCGACUUUUCUUUUUCUUUCUUUGACAUAUAUAUCAUUACUUUGCACCCUUCUCUAGUCUCAUCUCGUUGCUUAUUACUCUCAAAACUUUUCUUUGAACAAAAUCCUUCUUUUGAACAAACAAACUCUUAACCGAUAAUUGAUUUAUCUUUUCUUGAUUUACUAAUUCAAUUUUUGUGCAUACUAAAACCAUUACGAUGAGCAUAAUCAGGAAAAAAUUUAAAUCCAAUAUCAAGUGAUUGAAAUUCCGUACCGAUGUAAGGCUCUCUUAAUUCUUGAUCACCUAAUUGAGGAAUAAAAGGUACAACUGCAUUCAUGUUGUUGCCUAUAUUCUCCAAGGAAUCUUUAAUUCGAAAUCCUUAUUUUGAACAAACAAACUCUUGACCAAUAAUCCGCUUGCAAACCCAAUGAGUAUCAUUCAACUCAACUUCCUGGAUAAUUCUCAACGAAGGUAAUUCAACUUCUGCAGGUAUAACUGCUUCUGUUCCAUAUACUAACAAGUAUGGAGUAGCUCCAACUAACGUUCUGACAGUCGUUAUGUAUCCCAACAAAGUAUACGGCAACAUCUCAUGCCAACCUCUGUGAUUGUCAAUCAUUUUCCUCAAAAUCUUCUUAAUGUUCUUGUUGGCAGCUUCUACAACUCCAUUCAUUUGGGGACGAUAGGCGGUUGAGUUCCGGUGAGUAAUCUUGAAUUGUUCACNNNNNNNNNNNNNNNNNNNNNNNNNNNNNNNNNNNNNNNNNNNNNNNNNNNNNNNNNNNNNNNNNNNNNNNNNNNNNNNNNNNNNNNNNNNNNNNNNNNNNNNNNNNNNNNNNNNNNNNNNNNNNNNNNNNNNNNNNNNNNNNNNNNNNNNNNNNNNNNNNNNNNNNNCAUCACUUAAUUCAGCUUCUUGGAUGAUUCUCAAUGAGGGUAUUUCAAUUUCUGCAGGUAUAACUGCUUCUGUUCCAUAUACUAACAAGUAUGGAGUAGCUCCAACUAACGUUCUGACAGUCGUUAUGUAUCCCAACAAAGUAUACGGCAACAUCUCAUGCCAACCUCUGUGAUUGUCAAUCAUUUUCCUCAAAAUCUUCUUAAUGUUCUUGUUGGCAGCUUCUACAACUCCAUUCAUUUGGGGACGAUAGGCGGUUGAGUUUUAUGAGUAAUCUUGAAUUGUUCACAUAUCUCUCUCAUCAAGUGACUGUUGAGAUUCGCUUCAUUAUCAGUAAUGAUGGAUUCUGGUACUCCAAACCUAUAUAUCAAAUUGUUGCGUACAAAAUUAGCUACAACUUUCUUGGUCACCGACUUAUAUGAAGCUGCUUCCACCCACUUGGUGAAGUAGUCAAUGGCAACCAAAAUGAAUCUGUGUCCAUUAGAAGCGGUUGGCUCUAUGGGACCAAUGAUAUCUAUGCCCCAAGCUACAAAUGGCCAAGGUGAACUCAUAACAUUGAGUUCGUGAGGAGGGACUCGAAUCAAAUCACCAUGCACUUGACAUUUAUGACAUUUCUGUACAAACUUGCAACAAUCAUGUUCCAUAGUCAUCCAAAAAUAAUCAGCUCGAAUGAUCUUCCUAGCCAAAGUGAGUCCAUUCAUAUGAGUACCACAAACUCCGGCAUGUAUUUGUUCAAGGAUCUUUGCAGCCUCAAUAGCAGCGACACAUCUGAGAAGGCCUAAAUUUGGAGUCCUCCUAUAAAGGAUUUCCCCACUUGGAAAGUAAUUGUUAGUCAUACGGCAUAUUGAUUUCUUCUGGUUGAACGUUGCAUUCUCAGGAUAAGUCCCGGUCUCCAAAUACUUCUUUAUGUCAAAGUACCAAGGUAGACCAUCUGACUCUGCUUCAACAUGUGAACAAUGAACAUGUUGCUCUUUUACCGCUAUAUCCAAAGGAUCAAUAUAACUUGUAUCUGGAUGUUUAAUCUUUGAGGCAAUAGUGGCAAGAGCAUCGACCAACUCAUUCUGUGUCCUGGGAGUGUGUCCGAAUUCGAUCUUGCUAAAUCUCUUACACAACUUCUGUAUAUACUUCACAUACGGUGUGAUAUUUAGGUUCUUCACGACAUAUUCUCCUUGAACCUGGUGAAUUAGCAAGUCUACAUCUCCAAUAACCAGAAGCUCAUGAACAUUCACGUCGAUGGCCAUCUUCAAACCAAGGAUACAAGCCUCGUAUUCUGCCAUAUUGUUAGUGCAAUCAAAUCAGAGUUUAGCCGCCAUAGGAUAGUGCUGACCAGAUUCUGACACUAAGACUGCCCCGAUACCUUUUCCUCGGUGGUUUGCCGCUCCAUCAAAGAAUACUCUCCAACCAGGGUAUGCUUCAGAAAUAUCUUCACCCACAAAUGAAACUUUCUCAUCGGGAAAAUAAGUCUUGAGCGGUUCAUACUCCUCAUCAAUUGGAUUCUCCACGAGAUGUUCAGCUAAGGCUUGUGUUUUUAUCGCCUUCUGGGUUACAUACACAAUAUCAAAUGCACUUAAAAGCAUUUGCCAACUUCCCAGUCGGCAUUGCUUUUUGGAAAAUAUACUUCAACGGGUCCAUCCUGGAAAUAAGGUAUGUGGUAUAAGAAGACAAAUAAUGUCUCAACUUUUGAAAUCCAAGUCAAAACACAACAUGUUCUUUCCAAAAGAGUGUAACGGGACUCAUAUGGAGUGAAUUUCUUGCUCAAAUAAUAAAUGGCUCGUUCCUUCUUCCCAGUUUUGUCAUGUUGACCAAGCACGCACUGAAAUGCAUUAUCCGAGACAGCAGAUAUAGCAACUAUGGGCUUCCUUCUCGCGGAAGAACCAACACCGGCGGAUUGGACAAAUAGUUCUUGAUGGCAUCAAAAGCAGUUUGACAUUCUCCGGUCUAUUUGGUCAGGGUAUCUUUUUUCAACAACUUGAAGAUGGGCUCACACACCACGCUGGAUUGAGUUAUGAACCGGCUAAUGUAGUUCAACCUUCCCAAGAAACUCAUCAGUUCUUUCUUUGUCUUCGGAGGAGGUAACUCUUGAAUUGUUUUAAUCUUGGAAGGGUAAUAAGCUCAAUACCCCUCCUACUCACUAUAAAUCCCAACAACUUGCCAGCUAGCACCCCAAAAGCACAUUUAGCGGGAUUUAGCUUCAAAUUGUACCAAUGUAGGCGAUCAAAGAAUUUCCUCAAGUGAGUCAAGUGAUCUGAACUCUCGCGGGAUUUGAUUAUAACAUCAUCUACAUACACCACAAUCUCUUUAUGAAUCAUAUCAUGAAAAAUGGUUGUUAUAGCCCUCAUAUAAGUAGCACCAGCAUUCUUGAGACGAAAAGGCAUCACCCGAUAAUAAUAUACACCCCAAGGCAUAAUGAAGGUUGUUUUUUCUGCAUCUUCUUCAUCCAUCGUGAUAGCCCGCAUAAUAAUCCACAAAUGAUUGUAUUUCAUGCUUAGCACAUUUAUCAAUGAGAAUGUGAAUGUUUAGCAAUGAAAAAUUAUCUUUUAGGCUAGCUUUGUUGAGAUCUCUGUAGUCGACACAAAUUCUGAUCUUUUCGUCUUUCUUGGUCACUGGAACAACAUUGGCCAACCAAGUCGGAUAUUGCGUCACUUCCACCACUUGGGAAUCGAUCUGCUUUGUAAUCUCCUCUUUGAUCUUCAAACUCAGCUCUGGCUUGAAAUUUCAGGUUUUCUGCAUUACCAAACUGAAAUCUGGGUUGAUCGGCAGCUUAUGGACACCAUGUUUGUACUUAGCCCUGGCAUAUCUUUGUAAGACCACGCAAAUACAUCAAUUUAUUCUCUAAGCAGACGAACCAUGUCCUUUCUUUGAGCUUUAGUCAGAUGGACAUUGAUUCUUAAUUUUUUGAUACACUCCUCAUCUCCGAGAUUCACAGUCUCAGUUUCUUCCAAAUUUGAUUUAUGUUGGUUCUCAAAUUGUCGAAACACUUCGGCAACAUGUUCGGGUACCUCAUUUUCUUCUUCAUAUUCUUUGCAUUCAUCAUCACCUGCCUCAUUUUGUUCACUCGGUUCUUGACAUGACAUGACAUUGGCAGGUUUUAAAUUAUUAUUACUGAAACCAUAAACAAACAAAGUUAGGAAAGUAAAAUAUAAACAAAUAAGUAAAUUAACAAAUUUUUGACAAAAGAGGCUUUCAUUUAAAUUGAAAAAUUAGCAUAAACUUUGGCCAUAGCCAAGGGCCAUUUCGUCUUUUUAAACAUUACGGGGAAAUUUAAAAGCUCAAAGAAGUAAAAACGGCAUAAAGGGUAGGUCUUGGGUCUCUCCGAACUACCACCGAUUUUAAAAACAAAUAUAAAUACAUGUCCUUUCUACCCGAUGCUUGAUGUCCCAGUCUCUUCCUCGAUAACCACAUCAAUCUCCUCAAAAAUGCCCUAGAUUCCUACCCCGAGACCACCAUCAUUGACAUAUUCUCGCACCGGGAAUGACUGGUACAAAUGAGGAAUUGGCCUAGCUAAUGUUUGAUCAACACUUUUGAUCUUCAUCUCUACUUCGUCAUAUGUUGGAACAUAUCCUAAACCAAACUUUGCUCCUUUGGCGGAGAUCUGAAUAGUCUCGACAUUUCCUUGAAAAUGUUUUCCCAAUUCGAAACCUGGUUCGAAACCGCUCCGGAGCAUAACAGUAACAAUCAUCUUGUACACAUAAGGCAUAAGAGGCUAUGGAGCCAAGUCAUCACCGGCAUUUACCAGCUCCACCGUGUAGAAAUCGCAACCUUGGGAGACCACAUCAACGAUCAAUGCAUAUCCAUUAGAAUGGUUUCCUUCACCGUGAAUGACCGAUUCCUGGUCUUUCCAAACAAAUUUCAUCAGUUGGUGAAAGGUAGAAGGCACAGCCCCAGCCAUGUGGAUAAACGGUCUUCUAGAAACAAAUUGUAACUAGUAUUGAUGUCCAACACCUGAAACUCCACAUUGAAUUCUGCAGGACCCAUCUGAUAUCUAAGUUUACUGUAUCCAACGUGUCUUUUUGCACUCCAUCAAAAGUCCUCACAUUGACUUGAUUCUGGUGAACCUUUCCCAAGUCGAAGUUUAGCUGCUUCAAAGUCGAAAAUAGGCAAAUAUUGAGAAUGGAUUCGUCAUCGACCAAGACGUGAUUUAUUACCUUAUCUCGAUGCAUAAUGGUGACGUGCAGAGCUUUGUUGUGCAUCUUGCCUUCAAAGGGCAACUCUUCAUCACAAAAACUGAUGUGGUGUCCUCAAAUGACUUGGUUUAUCAUGGCCGCAAGAUUAUCACUGUUAGUAUCCAUAGGGACAUUAGUAUCAUCCAAAUCCUUCAUCAACGUUUGCAUAUGCAGUUGUGAACUCAUCAACAAAGCCCAUAUAGAAAUCUGAGCGGGUGUUUUCUCUAGAUGCUUCACGAUCGAGUAAUCUUUUGGUUGCAUUUUUCUCUAGAAUUUUUCUGCUUCAGCUUCACUAAUUGGCUUUUUAGGUUGAUCCUUUUUCUACACUCCAUGGGCUAACUCUUCUGUGUGUAACACAUGCCGGAUCUGGUCAUACCCUAGGUAACAGCGUUUCAAUGACAAACUUUGGUCGGGCAAGAGUUUUUCUUGGAACCAAGGCAAAAGCCUUCUCGGGUGUCAAAAUCACAAACUCUUCCUUCUCUCUAAUGCUCAACGAAGUUACAACCCUUUCCAUUUCAUAAGGAGCGAUCGGAACUAUUGCCUUUGUCACGCACCAAUCAUCAUCCAUCUCUAUCAUGCUGAUAGUGACACCUUCAUGAUCUUGCAAAGGAUUACUAUUGACAUUGGGCGCGACUGUCUGGAGAUAGACCACGAUCAGAUCUUAGAUCAUGUGUUUUAGGUUGAUACAGUCCUCGGUAUCAUGUCCAACACCAUUUGAGUGAUAUGCACAUCUCUAAUUAGGUCUGUAAAACCUUGAGCUAGUGUCAACCAGCUUGGGCCCCACUAGAUGAAUAUAUUCUAUCGCAGUUAAUUGCUCGAACAACUUUGUUCGACUUUCAAUGAGCGAAGUGAAAAUUCUAGCGGGAUUCUUCUCAAAUAUAGGACGGGGGGAUCGUAAUUUCCUUGUUGAGGGGGAGGUAUUUGACGAUAAUUUGGAGCGUUUGGAUGGGAGGAUUGAUAUCUUGGGUAUGAAUUGGUUUGGUAAUUUGGUUGUGGAGCUUGGUAACUUGCAGGGGUUUUUUGGUACAUUGGGGGGAGCAUUUGGUAACUUGCCUGAACUUUGGCACAGUUGGGGGCGGUGUUUCGGUAGUGCUGAGAUGGAGUUUGGUAAAGUAGAGGGGGAGUUUGGUAGCUAUGAGGGGGAGAAUUUUGAUAACUGGGGGGAGGGGUAUUUUGAUAACUGGGGGGAAGGGUAUUUUGGUAAUCAACAUGUGCAUAACAAUCCGAUUAUGAACUCUGUGAAGGUCGAGAACGUCCAUGGUAUGAUGAGAAUUUCCUUGGGGUCUUCUUCCCCUCAUAAGAGAUAGAAGACACAUCUUCUCUUUUCUUCUUCAACAAACCCGAGGAUCCAGGCGAGGCAGCAACAUAGACAAUCUUCUCGAUUUUUAAUUUGUCUUCGAUAGUCUCACCUACUUUGAAUAUAUCAACAAACUUUGCUCUAAUGAGCAACAUGAUUCUAUCAUAAUAUUCGGGCUCUUGAACCCGCACAAAUACUUCGACAAUUUCCUUCUCAGACAUAGGAGGCCGAACUCUAGCUGCCUUAUUUCUCCAUCUGUAUGUAAAUUCUCUGUAACUUUCAUUUGAUUUCUGCUUUAUUUUUUCCAAGGAAUAACGAUCACGAACGAUCUCCAUAUUGUAGGCGAAUCGGUCAAUAAAGUUUUUAGCCAGAGCAUUCCAGCUAGGCCACUGUCUCGUUUCAUGAGAUGUAAACCAUUACAGAGCCUCUUCACUCAGACUUCGGCUAAAAAACCACAUUAAUAAAGCUUCAUCUAUUCCAAUUCCCACAAGUUGGUCAGAAUAGGCCCUCAGGUGCGCUAAGGGGUUCGUUGUUUCUCCGAAGACGUUGAAAUUUGGCACCUUAAAACCUUCUGGGAGGUCUAGAUUCUGAUGGAUGGAUAUGUCAUCAUAACUCAACUCGGCGACUUCAGGAAUGCAAUGCAACUCUUUCAUGGCCUUUCGGAUUUGUUCAUUCAUGUCUAGAUUGGCGAGCUCUUCCUUUGACCUCCACUCUGUCUCCGGUUCCUCAUAGUGGUUAAGCUCAGAACAAUUGGCAUAAGGCUCAUUGGGGACUGGGAUUUGGAAAUUGGCUUUUUGAGGUAGGGGUGGAGAAAUGAAAGGACUCUAGGGGUUUUGAGGGGUUUGAUAGUUUUGAGGGAAGAUCUGGGGACUGGUAUGCUGAUUUUGGUGGUGGAGGGAAGUGUACGAGCGGUUAACGUUUUGGUUUUAAGGGGGCGGACAAGUUUGGAGGUCGGCAUUUUGAGGAGGGAGUGGCGCUUGGGGGUUGGUACUUUGAGGAUGAGGUGGUGUUUGGUAAUAGGCGGAGGCAUAAUGGGGAUUUUUGGUGGUUAGGUCGAUGUUUGAGGGAUUUUGAGCAGGAUUGAAGGGUGGGUUUUGAGCUUGUUCUGCGUUUGAAGCAGGAAAGUGAAGUAGAGGCCUUCCGUCUGCUAGAGCAUUGAAAGCAAAAACCAGAUUAGGCAGAUCUUGCCUUCUCUGCAUUUCGACCCUCAUCUCAGUGAUCUGUUGCAUCAACUGCAUAAUUAGUUCAUUUUGAUCAGCACUGAUGGGCUGAGCCACGACAACAUUGGUAAGGCCAAUCUCUUCAUUGUUGUCACCCAUUACUACUUUUCCCUUCUGUGAGUUUUGACCGGGGAGGGAAUAUUUAGAAGCCUUAGAUCUUAUGAAGUAGAGAUGAUCAGACAGCAUACCGACACACACCAAUUCUAAGUACCUAUAGAAGAAAACAACUCAAAGGCAAAUCUGUCAGUUCUGAUUCAGGACAAAUAAUGCAAAAUAGCACAUAAAGAGCAUGUAAUCACAUAAGAGCUGCUUCGUUUGAGGACAUGUUAACCUAUGAAUAAUGGGGACUAAUUUUUUGAACAAGCGGGAAUUUGCUCAUUUCAUUUUGAGGCUACUGACUUAGAAAGGUUAAAUUGCGUUGAGUUAAGGUUUUCUUGCUGCAUCUCUCGGCAUCUGUUGAUGUGAAUUCAAUGUUUCCUUAUAGAAUGAAAAGGGGAAAAUAAAAUUUUAAAAAGAUAGGGGUCGUGCCUUGAAAGACUGCCUACAUAUCUCCCAAGGAGAAUUCAUGCCCUACGUAGUUCGAAUACAAAAGGAAAUUCUCAUUUUCAUUCAUUCAUUUGGUUGAUUACAAGGAAAGUGAAAAGAAAACAUGUGAUAAAGCUCUUAAAACAAAGAUUGUGCCUUCAGAAAGGCUUAUUCUUCUGACUCAUCAAAGCACUCUGGAUGUCGCACGACCAAUCAGGGGAGAAACUCAACUUGGAUCCUUCCCUUGUUGAUUAAGGACUCCAGAUCAUACCGGAACUCGAGGCACAUUCCAACGUUGUGAUCUAUGGCGCCAUGAUAAGGGAACGGUUUCCAGAUUUCAAUCCCAACGGGAUCAAAUGUUUCAUCAUCUAUUUUGAUAGGGGUCAAGACCCCCUUUCAAACCAACUCACAAUAGAAAUCCAACAACGAUCUCUUAAAAUGUGUGAAAAAGUGGCAGUAGAACACAAUAUGCUCUGUGACCGAUACACUGGGCUCCAGUUGGUCACAGGUAAGGAGAGUGUUGUCACCCCACAUAUGGGGGAUUUUCUCAAUCCUGAUUAGGUUGCGGAUCUUGGCCUUAAGCUCCACACAUUCUUCUGUUGUAUGCCCAUUUCAGUCUGGAGGUAGGCAUAUGUCUUACGUACAUCCCCCGGCUCACCCUUGGAAGUGGUUCCCUUGAGGAGUUUCAGGAUACGUUCAAUCUGAAGACGCUCAUAAAUGAGAGCACAUGGGACGACUUUUGCACCCACGUUAUAUUCCUAAAGAAAUGCCUCGAGGGUGAUUUUCUCAUUCCCUUUUUUCCAAUGUCCUUGGAAAGGAGGCCUGUAGACGAUUUCUUCCUCAUGUUCUUCUUCAACAGCUUCAGGUCCAGUGCCUUCGGGGCCACUGACGUUAGCCUCUUAGUUGAAAAAAAUGUGCUUUCCAUGUAGCUUUUGUAGCCUCGUGGUUAUAUCAUUGUUGAAGACAUCGUGUUCCUUCGGCAUAACAGUCGUCUCUUCGUUCAUGAUAACAUAUCUUGCCAUCUUAGCCGCCAAUUCCGCGUCUAGCGCUGCACUUUUGGCUUGCGCAGCUGCGGUGGCUACUUCUAUUUCUAUUCUUCUUUCUUCCAUUUCUCGAAUCUCUUGUUUGAAUCGACGCAGUUUCAUUCUUAAAUUCUCCUCAGUCGUCUUCACCUCGACAUUCUUGCCUUUUUCUAUCUUAGCAGCAAUUUUACCUUUCCUGCGAUGAUAGCGUAAUGUCUUAGGAUUUGUUAGUAGGAUUUUAUUUCUGACUGAGAAACUCAAGACUCAUGUAAUUUUGGUCGGACAUUUUGGUAGUGGCCUGUAUUUGGCAUUGUAGAGAUUUUUUUCAAAAAAUUUGUUGACAAAGAGUGGGUUAAAAAUGUCCUCAUUCAAAGCAACGUACCACAUAAACAGUUAAAGCACACAGUAAACAGACAAAUAUCGCGUCCUAAACAUACAUGUGACCCUUUUGUGCCGAGGCUAGGCCUAGCGAAUUGAAGGAUGUAUAUAUCUUUUUAAGCCAAUUCAUUAUCCCCAAAAUAUUUCAUUAAUAUCAUUCAAAAAUGUUUGACAAACAUAAAAUUAGGGAAAAAAGUUCGGAAAGUAAAUUACAAAACAAAGUACAAAUAAAGCAAUCAUACGCAGGGGAUGAUAACAAACUUCUGGCCCCUCUUGAUCCUUUACUGGAUCUGGUCCUCUUGGCAAUGUUGACCUCUUCCCACAUGGCAUACUUGUUCGCGCAUAGGUGAUCUCUUGCCAACCGAGCCCCUUCUUUAUAUCUAAACCUCUCGAUCAACUGAAUCUGCUAUUUCAUGCUAUCAUCUAGUUCUGACAUGCAUUACCUAGCUCUUCGUAGCUCCUACUUUAACUGAGCUAUGACUUCGGCGUCUUUUGAAUGUCGGCGUUGAUGAUCCAACUCAUUCUUAUCAAACUUCUCUUGAAGUCGAUGAAGUCAGAUUUGAUGUUUGUCCCCAACAUCUACAAUCAUAUGAGGAACGUUUGGACCGGGCUCGAUGGUUCUAGCGAGAUUCUUCUUUAGCCAUUCUUUGUAGUCCCAAGAACAUUCAGGGCGAAAUCUUUACGGUACUGGUUCACCCAACACCCUUCGUGCCUUCCAUAACUAAAGUAUUUUUUUAGAAAAGGCGACUUGGUCAUCUUCGUGAUCUGUCACAAAUCUGCUCAUGUCUUCAGUUUGGGGAAUCUCUUGCUUUCCUCCUAGUUGUCUAAGGACUCGAGCUGGAGCAUACAGUCGAGUUUCUCUCAAUCCGGGAAGUAUCAAAAAUGGGGUCUUUUCACUUCGGAUCACUAUUUGUUUUGUUACUACCAAGCAUUUGAUCGACCACUAUAUAUUUUCCUCUCUCAAACCCUGAAGUCUCGGAUAUCAAAAUUCUUGGAAUCCAGUCCUGUUGAAGUGAUUAAUCUGCAUUCACCAAUCGUGACUUUCAAGUUUGUUCGGUCGUUCUAAGGGAUCUGACUCUUUCAGAUUGUGAGUUUUGAUCAAAUGUAUCAUCAAGAUAGCAUUUGCCGCUUUUACACCUAUCCAAUGCUCUAUAAAUAUCAGCAAGAAUCAUGGACGCUAAGUUGUAAUACUUGGUUGCUGACUUGUAGUCCACUCCGUAAAAGAUAGCAUGAGUGACCAUUAUUACACUUGAUUGGAUAGUGUAGUUUGUUCCUUGGGAAAAUAUCAUCAUUCCAAGUAAGCAUAUUGCAAAAGCGAGAGGACGUGUUUCAUUCCAUUUUUCCUCCAAAACAAACUCCUCUUUGAAUUUUUCGUUGGCUCUUGCACGUCCAAAUCGAUAAGAUAGCUUUCAAAGCGGAAUGUUUAGUCCCGGAAGCUUGUCCAUCCAUUCGACUUUGAUGAGUGACAUUUUUUCUUUAGUUUCGGCAAAAUACCAUAUUUUUGGGAAACGAAGAUUCGUAUCGGGUUUGAACUUCCUUUUGUAGCACAUACCGACAUUCUCAUAACUUGCAAGGACUUCUUCAAUAGUCGGUGUCCUUUCUAUACCCCGAACCGAAAUACCAUGUUGUCGCUGUCCCAUAAUUUUACCAUUGUUCUAAUCAAAUCGGGCCAAACCACUAUUUCCAUUAGUGACGGGAGAUGGCCUAUAUGUCUCUGAACCUUUUUCUUGUCUUCCGCAUUCAUAAAUUUCCACCAAACUUGUAGGUAAGAAUGGGGUAUGGUCACCAUUCGGGUCCUCAAGGGCUCAUGUGUUGGAUAUAUCCUAGAAGAAAAAGAGAAAAAGUAACUUAACCCCCAUCCCCACUUGAUAAUUGAUUUGUUUAAAAUGACAUAUACAUCAUUCAAUUAAACACAUAAGCAUGAUUGUCUUUUAUUAACCAAAAUGGGUCAAAUAGACACAAGGUGGGCUACUAACGGGCCCAACACGCCUUGAGUGUUGGGUCAAUUUAGUUCAAAAUACGUUAAAUUAGGGAUUUAGUUUCGCUCUACGCUAGUUGACUAAGAGUGGCUUUUCAAAGAUCGGGAACCAAGUGGACAACUUAGAUCGAAAUUCACGACAAUCAUUGGACGCAUGAUGUACCAAUAAAUUACCGAUCCUUUCGCAAAACGGUUGAGUAUAAAAGUCCGGUUGUGAUUAUGCAGAAACUGUCCUUAAUAUACUAUAUAUACAACAGGAAAUGUCAUGAAUCCAAUGACAGUUAUAUCAAUUUAAACACAUUAAGCGCAGAUAAAUAAUUCAGCAAUUAAUAAUAAUUAGUCAAAUAAGUCAAUCUUAUGGUUAGAACUUAAUUAAGUCUCCAGCGGAGUCGUCAUUUCUGUUUUACUCAAAAAAUAAAAUAAAAAUGGACUUGUUUUGAAAAAAUCAACUAAACUUAUGACUGAAGAGAAAUCGAAUUUCCAAAAGAACAGAGUCGCCACUUAAUUUUUUUUUAAAAAAAUCAAGAAAAAACAUAAGGUUUUCAAAAGACGUAAAUAGACAUAAUCAAUUGAAAAUAAAAAGGGUUCGAGUUCAAUGUACAUACCGAGAAGGUGUUAGGACCUCAGAAUGUCCGCUAACUUGCGGUUGACCGGCAAUUUGACUAAAAUAACUUUCAACUAACUCUUAAAAAUUUUAAUCAAGUCAAAAGAAAUUCAAUCACUUUUUUCUUAUUUUUUUUUUAUUUUUUUUAUUUCACUUUUUUUUAAGGGGGACAACUAAAGGGAAAUCAUCUAAAAGGAAAAACUCAAGUGUUGACAAGACUAAUGAUAAAAAAAAAAAGCUAAGUAUAGAAUAUAAAUAUAUCAAAAAAAAUUGAAUAUGCAAGAGAAAUGACCACCUUUGGGAAAUUAAUUAAGUUAAACCAUAAUCCAAAUAAGAUGUUAGUUGAUGCAAUAACAAAUAAUAAGAGUAAAGAAGAGAAGUAUCAAUUUUUUUGGGCCUCUAGCCCAAAUUCGAAGUUGGGCUGGUCAGCACCCUUUGGUCCCUGUCCUAUUGUUUAAUAUUUGCCAAAAAUGAUGGAUUUUGGCCCAUUUGCUCUCCUUCAAUUUUUUUUAUUGUUCCAUUGGGCUUUGGCCCAUUUUCCUGCUACUUGGACCUGCUAUAAUUUUCUUGGGCCUUUUGGCCCCUUUUUCAUUCUCAUUUGUCAUUUGAAUUAUGUAUUUUUGCAUUGUCCACCUGUAUUUCAGCUUUUCCAAACCUGUAUACCAGUGUAUACAAUAGGUAUAAUCAUCUUUUUUUGGCCUUUUCGAACAUCGAAAAUUCAACAUCCAGUCCCUGUACUUCCUGUAACCUGUUUGUUGGCUAUUUUUGGACUCGAUAAGAAAUAUAAAAUUGGGCCUAUAAGGCCCAAUCCGCGAAAUGCCAGUGAAGGGAGCCUCCAAAGACUCGGAAGGAAGCAGUUCAUGCAUAGAAAAAGAAUAAAACAAGAUGGAAAUUAGUAAUGAAGCAUACUUUAAAGUUCUAUAAUAUAACUAAGGCAUAUAAAAAUAGAAAUAAGGUGAAAACACAUGUAAUUGGUUCACUAUGUCAACAUAAUGAAGAGAUAACCAAAGGACUGCAUCUAACACUUAGAAAAUAUUUACUUAAGAUGAAACGAAACUCACAUGAUAAAAUAAAAUACUACAAGAUGAUGACGAAUAAACAGUCAUACUAAUAGUGAUCAAAUGGAGAGGAUUUAGGCAUAAUUACUUAGACAAAUAUAAUAACAAAGAAGCCAUUGUCAAUCAAGAAAUGGAGCAGACUAUUAAAAUUGAUGUCAUUAAGUUUAAAAAGCAAUACAAAUUUAAGCAAAGGCAUAAAUGAAACUAUGUAUCAAUAGGAUAAACUUGAGCAUUUUGAACAUGACAAAUCAGGUAACCAAAUUAGCAAAUGCUACUGUUUUGCAGAACUUUCAUACAUGAAUAAGGGAGGAAUUUUAGCAUUUUUCACAACUUUAAAUGAAGAAAUAAAGCAGGCUCAAGCAACAGGACACCACAGUAAGCUUCAGCACAAAUUUUGCACACCCAGGCAUGCAUUCAAAACUAAAACGAGAAUGAGUUAAAACUCAAUCUUAAGACUAUAAUCUUUCUGACAUGAGAAUCAAUCAACAGACCAUCAGAAGAAGAGAAAAGAAACAACUCAUGCUUAAGGGCACAUACAAGAACAAGAUACCACUGUAUUUCAGAAAAAUAUAUUUUUUACCUCAAACCAAAUAUGAUAUUUGACUUAUUUACCACCUACCAGAUGAACUUCGCAUGAACAGAGCACGAAAGGAAAUUAACAUGAUUGACACAAUCGACUAUAGAUUCAAAACAACAACUCUAAAACACUAAGUGAACUUGAAAUAUUGAUGUGUUGCUUCAUUCCCCCAAGUUGUGGUGAAAGAACAAAGAAAGUGACAUCUAAUUCUACACGAUACUACAAAUUCCCAAUGAUCAAAAGAAAACUAAGAUGAACAGAAUGACAAACUAAACCAAAGGGUGGCUAGGAACACAUAGAAACAGUUAAAAAAAAGGAUAGAACAGCACAGCCAAGACAAAUAGAUAUUUCAUCAACUUGAACUAACCAACUUGUCUAUAUGGAAUAACAUGGAGUAUGCAACUGACUCUAUUAAAUAAGGAAAAAUAACAAUGUAUUAAGCAACAAAUAGAUCGUAAUAUUUUAUUCGCAAAUAAAAUGGGUAGAAAACAACCUAUAUAUCAAAUCAUGGAAGUCGAAAUCAUAUUCUAUAGAUGAUUUCGAGCUUCACUACUGAACCACAGCUUUCAUAACUCAUUAGUCGAGAUAAUAGCGACAUAAGAAGAUUCCAACAAUGAGAACAUGAACUCGGGAAAGGGGGAAACAUCAAACUUUAAACGAAAAUGAAAACAAACAACAACUAUGGACUUUCAAACAAAUUCGAUCACUGAUUAGCAGCCAACAAGGGGUCAAAACACCCCAAAUACUAACAUGUAAACAACUUCAUAUUGUCAAGAACAACACAUUACGAGAAAGAGUUGCUUGAAGUGAGAUGAGUAUUACCUUUAAGGGUGCAUCAAAUAGGGACAACAAACUAGCAGCUGUGAUCCUUUCACCACGAAAGCGAAACCACGAAUAAGUAAUUCGAGUGGAAGUUCCGAACUCAAACGAAUGACUAGCCUUCUCAGAAAUUGGAAUCGAAGAACUUUCUGUUUUCUCCGACGGGAUUUCGUAGUAUGUUCUAGCCAUUUUGCUAAAGUUACUCUCUAUUUUUUAGCUAGAAAGAUUCCAACCCUCAACAAUGAAUAAUAAGCGACCAUAUAUAUAAGGGAAAUUAGGGUUCGAAAAUGGGGGGAAAGGGAUGAAAUCCGAACAUGAAUUGGGCCCAUUUCAAAAUUCAAACUCCAAAAUUCUUUUCACCAUUAAGGAGAAACACCAUUUUCUAAAAAUUUCAACCCAUUGCGGUAGAGGAAAGGGAGACAGACGGCUGGGAUUGAUUAGAUUGUCCUUGGGCGCAACGUGGCCUCAUAUCAUGCUGGUGAGGACGAAACAGUAGCUGAAAUCGCGGAAAAGUUGUACAAGAUCGCACCAAUCUGAGGAAGAAGACGUUGGGAUUUUUCUUUCCGUCUAUUUGACGUUGUGUUCGACUCCGUGUAGACGUCGUGAAUCGAGCAUGCAUCGUUUGGUUGUUGCGUUGAGGUCAUUUUGGAUAUGGCGUGAACACGCCAUCUGCUUCUUUGAUGCCCACAUGAAGACCGCGUUUGGUCUUGACGUUGUAAGCUGAUGUUGCCGUGUGUUGUCAUUUUGCUGGAAAUUGUAUGUUGUUUCUGGGUUUCUCUUCGUGAACUGGGAAUGGGCUGGGUCGGGGGAAAAAAAGACGGGCUGUUGGGAUUUAGAGAUAAUGGAAUUGGGCCUGAGUUAUGGGUGUUGCUGGAAAUUAGAAGGGGACUGAGGGAGUGGGCUGGAAAUUAUUGAAUGCAUGGCCCAAAAAUUGGUCUCUUAAAGGGGUUGAAGAAAGUUGAUAGAUUUUGGCUAAAAAUUUGUAUUCAAAGAAUAGCCUAAAUAACCUCAAGGUAAUCAAAUCGAGUUUAAUCAACGAAUUUGAUCAAAAUUUAAACAAGACGAAUUAAUACAAAUUAAUUAAAGAGCUUCUUACUCUUAACGAAAUAAAAUAAUUAACUUAAUUAUAAACUAAUGAUUCAAAAUUAUAACCAUAAUUUAAACUAAACUAAUUUAAUAAAAUACUUACUAAAAUUAAAAUCUUUUUGAGAUGAUUUUCGAAAUGUUUAUAAAAUAUACUAAUUAUAUACAAAAUUAUAUAAAAUAUAUAUAUUACUUAAAAAAUUAUAAAAAUGAUAAAACUAAUUAAAAGUAACUUGAAAAAUAUUUUGAACUUUANNNNNNNNNNNNNNNNNNNNNNNNNNNNNNNNNNNNNNNNNNNNNNNNNNNNNNNNNNNNNNNNNNNNNNNNNNNNNNNNNNNNNNNNNNNNNNNNNNNNNNNNNNNNNNNNNNNNNNNNNNNNNNNNNNNNNNNNNNNNNNNNNNNNNNNNNNNNNNNNNNNNNNNNNNNNNNNNNNNNNNNNNNNNNNNNNNNNNNNNNNNNNNNNNNNNNNNNNNNNNNNNNNNNNNNNNNNNNNNNNNNNNNNNNNNNNNNNNNNNNNNNNNNNNNNNNNNNNNNNNNNNNNNNNNNNNNNNNNNNNNNNNNNNNNNNNNNNNNNNNNNNNNNNNNNNNNNNNNNNNNNNNNNNNNNNNNNNNNNNNNNNNNNNNNNNNNNNNNNNNNNNNNNNNNNNNNNNNNNNNNNNNNNNNNNNNNNNNNNNNNNNNNNNNNNNNNNNNNNNNNNNNNNNNNNNNNNNNNNNNNNNNNNNNNNNNNNNNNNNNNNNNNNNNNNNNNNNNNNNNNNNNNNNNNNNNNNNNNNNNNNNNNNNNNNNNNNNNNNNNNNNNNNNNNNNNNNNNNNNNNNNNNNNNNNNNNNNNNNNNNNNNNNNNNNNNNNNNNNNNNNNNNNNNNNNNNNNNNNNNNNNNNNNNNNNNNNNNNNNNNNNNNNNNNNNNNNNNNNNNNNNNNNNNNNNNNNNNNNNNNNNNNNNNNNNNNNNNNNNNNNNNNNNNNNNNNNNNNNNNNNNNNNNNNNNNNNNNNNNNNNNNNNNNNNNNNNNNNNNNNNNNNNNNNNNNNNNNNNNNNNNNNNNNNNNNNNNNNNNNNNNNNNNNNNNNNNNNNNNNNNNNNNNNNNNNNNNNNNNNNNNNNNNNNNNNNNNNNNNNNNNNNNNNNNNNNNNNNNNNNNNNNNNNNNNNNNNNNNNNNNNNNNNNNNNNNNNNNNNNNNNNNNNNNNNNNNNNNNNNNNNNNNNNNNNNNNNNNNNNNNNNNNNNNCAAUUGUAUACAAAUUUAAAUUUUAUGCAGAUAUACAAACACAUAAAAUUGAAUUGAGAGGCUGUCAGCGAUUUUAUACAAAUCGGAUUCCCCCCAUGAUUUAUACAAUAUGAUGCUCCAUAGCAAACAUAAAGUUUGUUAUGGAGCGCAAUUAUGCAAGCUAUAGCUAUAACAUACAAAUAUGAUUUUUAUGUUUGCUAAAUGUGAAAGUUGAACAUCUUUCAAUUCCUUAGCCAGUUGAAAUAAAUAUUUGGAUGCACAAUAGCUCGGCCACAGCCCGCACUGUUCUCUUUGAUAUGAUAGCAUUUGCAUUCUUUAACAGAUAUUCUAAAAGUUAGAAAAGCUUGUCCAAAACCUGAUGAUUCUUCUGUGAUAUUAAUUCUACCUUUAUUCAUUUUGUGUAAUGCAAAAAACACAAUGUAAAAUAAGUUAUAAAGAGAAUAAUAUUUUCGUUUCAAAACAAAAGAAGAGUUUCUGUAGAAUGUGAUGUAAUGGUUUUUAAUGCCAUUAACAUUCAUAAUGCUUUAUCAAAAUUAACUUUUUUCUCCUCUUUCUUUCUCAGCUUAUUCUUAGAAUAUUUUUUGGGCAAUUGUUGGUCUGUAUUUCGUCAUGAUGCUUAGCAUCUGGUGUGUGGGUAAUUUUGACCCACCACACACCCCGUGCUUAGCAUCUGGUGCGUGGACAAUUUUUUUUUUGGGCCCCAACAUUAUGUGACAUAGGUUCAGCUCUGAUACUAUGUUAAAUUAGAUUUUGAGUCUAACUUACACUCCAAAAGCUAGCUCAAAAGCAGAAGGAUUAUCCAACCCUUAUAAAGAGUCCACCUAUCUCAUUAACCAUUAAUGUGAGACUUUUUGCUUUAACAAAGCUUUCGUUUAGUGUACAUAUAUUCACAUUGAGAUUUCCUUUGCAACUCUAUUUUUUCUUGAUUUUACUAAGAUGAGCACAUCUGCACGCCACAUUUUAAUUGUAUCUUUUGCUAUUGCUUUGUCAUACAAUAUGAAGGUCUAUGAUUCUGCAAAGUUGUGCGGAAAAACAGCUCUCUCGAUAAAUGUAGCAUCUAGUUUCCCUGCAAUUCAAAAUUGCGCGUCUACAUGAGUUACAAGAAACAGUAAUAACCAGAAUAUUGAAUCUUCAUACUUGAAAAAAAAACACUAGAUGGAAAAAUGAGAAGCAUCACGCUAUCUUGUGUAACUUAACUAAUUCGUUCGAACAAUUUGUCUGGCCCAGAAUCACAAGUUGUCAAGGUUAUCCUCUCACUGAGAUUAAAGCACAUUAGCUCCAUUGGUAACAAUUUGUUUCUUUUUUCUAUAUAAUUGAAAGUAUACUUGUUGAGUGUGGGAACUCCAUUAUGCCCGUAAGGGAUGACUUCUUUGUUUUAUUUCUUCAAUUAGGUACUCUUUCAAAAGUUUAAAGUAGAAGAGAGUAAGAUUUGCGUAGACUCUACUAUACUCUGUAGUAGUAGUUGUUGUAAUGACAAUAAACCAAAUAAUUCUAAUCAAUGAAACAUGUGGAGUGAGGGAAACUUCAAACUGUGUCCUUUUCUGCCAGACUAGCUACUGUUAUGGAAAUUUAAUUCACUUUGGGGUCGUUUGACAGAGUGCAUUAGAAAAAAAAAUUAAUGCAUACAUUAACUUUAUGUAUUGUUAAAUAUCUAAUAUGGUAUAUAUUUUAAAAUUAUGUAUGAACUAUAUUUGGUAUUAAGGUGUGUAUAACAAAUACAUAAAAAUCUAUAGUAUUAGUAAUACAAAGGAUUCUAAUGCAUAUGUCAUUAGAAUGAUUAAAGACAUAAUUGUCCCUCCAAACCUUUUCGACAUUCUUUCCAUCAUAUUUGUGAAUGAUAUUUUGUAUGCAAAUAAUUAUUUUAAAAAAAUUAUAUAAUAUAUUUUAUUUUUAAUGCACCACACAUGGCAUAAAUAAAAAAUUUCAAUAUAGCAAAUGAAAACAUAACUAAUAUUAAUACUACUAAUACGCCCAAAACAUUCUUUAUAUCAUGUUGACUAAAAUUCAAAAAUGUAUGCACUAUAUCUUAGUCAUAUGUAUAAUUUCUUGGCUUUAUGUGAUAACAACUAGCUGUGUAUGUAGCCUCCAACUGUUGUAAUGAAAUAACCUUAAUUGGAUAGGGUCAUUCUUCAGUUUAUAUGGUCAAUAUUAAUGUUUAAUUUUUCUCAUUCUUGCUUUCAUUUUCUUACUAAUUUGUUACUGAAGUUUCUCUGCCUCUUCCAAAUUUUGAUUAGGUGUCCACUGAAUUGUUGACCUGGUCAUUGGAGGUUGGGCCGGAGCUAUAGCAUUAAAAAAGAGCAACGUUCACACCAAAUAUAAAAAUCAUAUUAGUAUGUUAUAACAAUAGUUUGCAUAAUUGCGCUCCAUAACAAAUUUUAUGUUUGCUAUGAAGCUUUUGAUUUGUAUAAUUCGCUAUAAACAUUCAAUUUUAUAUAAAUUGUUCAGUUUUGUAUAAAUUCAUUUAUACAUUGUAAUUUGUAUAAUAAAAUUUGUAUUUGUAUAAUUAUAAGUGUAUAGAACGAAAAUAUAUGUAUUUGUAUUUGUAUAUACACUUUUCUCUAGCUUUAUACAAACACAAAUGCAUUUUAUGCAUUUUAUACAUUUUAUACCGAAAUGCAUAAAAUGGUUAAUUGUAUACCGAAAAUGGCUAAUUGUAUACCAAAUCAGUGGCAAAAAAAGAGGAUAUUUACUGCGAAUUACAAUUAAAAUAAACUAUGGCAAUAACAUUUAAUUUGAAUUAAUAGUUUGUUAUUUCAUACAAUUUGCCCAUUAAAAAAUUACGUUAUAUAUAUAUAUAUAUAUAUAUGUCAAAUUCAACAUUUUAAGGAUAUCUAUUUAAAGUUCGAUACCGUUGAAAAAAGUUAUGCCUUUGACAUAGUGAUAAUGAAUAUCCAUUCGAAUCAAGAUUUUGAAUUUAAACUUGACUCCGCCAGAAGGCCAUUUUUUAAAAUUCUUCCGUGGAUUAGGAUAGAGGUGAUUUUUAGUACAUAAUGACGUGAACAAUAAUUUUAUUUAAGUAAUAUAUAUAUAUAUCGUUAGACUAAAUAUUUAUAUAACAUAUUUCAUUUUUAAGUAAACAAAUUCCAUAUCUUUCCGAUAAUCUAAUAAGUUUACAAAAUUAUUUACACUAACAAUAUAUAAAACAUAAACUCAAAAAUAAGAUAUAAAAAGACUACCAACUUUUGAGUACUACAAAAGAAUAUUUUGCUUAAAAUUUUGGACAAUAUUAAAUAAAUUAAGAAAAAUGUACCAACUUUUUUUUUAUGAUAACUAAUUAGAGCAUCCACUAGUCAAACCAGAGAGUAACAUCAGAGCAAGUUCUUCUUCAAACAUAGUAAACCUCAGUCCUUCAUCUUUAACUUUCCGGUGAACGUCUAUCAUAUUUUCCGGUAUAAUCACGCUCCGGCAAUGCGGACACGUGGCUUGUCCCUUCCCGUGCAUCAACCACUUAUCUAAGCAAUUUUCAUGGAAAAUAUGACUGCAGUUUACAAUUCUCCUCCCUUUAUCUCCGUGCUCGAAAUCUGAUAAACAAAUCGAGCAAUCAAGCGCUUCAGUAGCGACAAAUCCAAGUAAUUUCCGCUUUUUGUAGACGAAUUUAGUGCUCUUUUCGUUUAUAAUUUUCCUGCAAUUGUGUUUUUCUAGUUUUUGUAGGAAUACACUGAUCGAAACAAAAAACAGAAGGAGUAGGAAUUUUAAUGCUUGAGGAAGCCAUGAAAAGAAGAAAAUAUUGAUACGUUGAUUGAAAUAUGAGAAGAAUUUAGUGAAUGCAGACAUUUUUUACUUAUAUUUUUUGAAUUUGCCUGAAAGAAGAGAAAACAGAGCUCUAUUUUUAUAGUUUAUAGUUGUGAAACUGUAUAAUGGCGUCU